CUGCUAAGCAUAAAUAUUUGACUUUGUCGAGAGUUUCUGUAUGUUAGUUGGUAAGAACUACAUGACAUACUUUCCUUAUUUCUAAUGAAACUAUUUUUUUCAGGUGUUGAUAUGCUAAAGAAGGCGGUAGGAAAAGACUGUACAUCUUUAUUCAAUAAAUACCAUGCUUGGGUGAAUGCUGAAUUUUUACUUGAGAAGUGUCUCGUUGGUACUCUAGACGAUGGCGAAGGGCAACAUUUCAAUCAUUAGAAAUUUUAGGCCUGUUCAUCAUACAGGCAGAUUGGUACAGCAAUUUAUUUUUCAAUUCAAAUUUUAUCAAGCGAACAUCAUAUUAUCAUACCAGAAAAUAAUACAUUCUUACGUUAGAACAAGACUUUCUCAUUCAUUGUUGUACCAUGUUGUCAAAUUCAGAUUCUGUUGUAUAUUAUUAUUUUCAUAAUAAGCAUAUCAGAAAUGUUCUUUCAUG